rnacentral:rRNA from 1 species
GACGAACGCUGGCGGCGUGCUUAACACAUGCAAGUCGAACGGAAAGGCCCUGCUUUUGUGGGGUGCUCGAGUGGCGAACGGGUGAGUAACACGUGAGUAACCUGCCCUUGACUUUGGGAUAACUUCAGGAAACUGGGGCUAAUACCGGAUAGGAGCUCCUGCUGCAUGGUGGGGGUUGGAAAGUUUCGGCGGUUGGGGAUGGACUCGCGGCUUAUCAGCUUGUUGGUGGGGUAGUGGCUUACCAAGGCUUUGACGGGUAGCCGGCCUGAGAGGGUGACCGGCAACAUUGGGACUGAGAUACGGCCCAGACUCCUACGGGAGGCAGCAGUGGGGAAUAUUGCACACUGGGCGGAAGCCUGAUGCAGCAACGCCGCGUGCGGGAUGACGGCCUUCGGGUUGUAAACCGCUUUCGCCUGUGACGAAGCGUGAGUGACGGUAAUGGGUAAAGAAGCACCGGCUAACUACGUG